rfam:Oryza barthii chromosome 2, whole genome shotgun sequence.
AAUAAGUGCAAUUCUGUACUAUUCAUAUCUAACGUUUGACCGUUCGUCUUAUUUAAUUUUUUUUAUGAUUAGUAUUUUUUAUUGUUGUUAGAUGAUAAAAUAUAAAUAAUACUUAUGUAUGACUUUUUUUUUUUAAUUUUUUCAUAAAUUUUUUAAAUAAGACGGACGGUUAAACAUUGGACACGGAUACCUAUGGCUACACUUAUU